GAACUGUAAGAAAUCGGAAAACAUGGGAUUUAUUCCUAUAUAUCUCCUACAGAGCCAUGUAGGAGAGGAGGGUCCACAGACAGCUAAAGCCUAGCUCUGCAGCCUUCUGCAAACUGGUUGUUCUGAAGGGCAAUCGAUUUAAGUUUUAUAAAAGGACGUCUCUGCCUGUUGGCAGGCAAUGACUGCCUGCUUGCUGUACCAAAACAUGCUCCCUGCAACUAAGAGAGGCGGAUCCAUCCAUCCAUCCAGCAGCUCUGACUUGUGGUUCGUGUCAGGCUUGAUCCAAAGCUUGUCUACGGUCAGAACCAAGGACCUUGAUUUAGAGGUAGACUCCAUCCACCUACGUUGACACUCAUCAAAUCCAGACACACAUGCUCUUUGUCUGCUGGGACCACUCUGCUGUAAACCCAUCCUGACAGCUACCUUGCUUCCCAGUCUCUCCCAGAGGACCAAGAUUCUUCCAACUGGUUUCCUCGGACUGAAAAGACUAUAAUUAGCUGCUUCCCCCUUUUUCCUCUGUUUAAAACUGGCAUUAUACAUUCUUCCUAUCUACAGCAAUCUCCUCUCCCAUCCUGUCCUGCUUAGGAAUAUAUGUGAAAGGAAACAUUAUGCUGUGGGAGUAAAAGUGCAUUGUUUAAUGAAGACAAAAAUAGCAAAUUUUAUAGUAAAGAAUCAAUAUUUUCUUCCUUUUCCAUUAGGCUGUAACUUACCCUUCUAUUACCCAAAAUGCAUAUUACCCUCUUGUUUCUGAAAUAUUACUUUCUCCACAUUUUUCUAGAUAUUAAUUCCUUGUUUGCUUUUGUAAGUUGAAUGUAAGCUCUCCUUUAUUGCUGUAGUAUCUUGCUCUCUCCUAUAGCUAAGUACUCACGUAUCAAGUUUUCCUCUCUGUUCCUGUCAGUGGAGUGUCUUUUGAAAAUGUAGAUCCAGAAGCAAUACUCCCACAUUCAAAGAUUUCAGCUAAGACUGUUUUAAAAGAGCUCUGUGGACAAUUCUGGGGUCUUAUAAUGGAUUUGAAGCUGAGAAGUCUCCAAACUCUUAUAAGCAAAGAAACUCUCUUACAAGAGUCCAUGUCAAUGUCAGAGAUAUCAAUGUUUGUUUAGUGGAAAUAAUGUCGGUAUUUAGUUUUAAGCUUCCACAAAUAGAAAAUACAUUUGCUAAAAACAUGCUACAAAUUUAUGAAACUCAUCUUAGUUAAAACAAAUUAUGCAGCAGCUUUUUAGAUUUUCCCUGCUCAAAUAUGCAAGUCUUAUAGUGUUCAACUCACCAAAAAAUGACUGAAAAGCUAUUUUAAAUUAUUUCACUUGUCAGUUUAUCCAAGUCAAGCUUUGUAAUCAAAAUGUGACAAUUAUCAGCAUUCUUUUGUGAUUCAGUACAAAUGUAUUCCUUUGUGAUUUAUUAUAAAUUUAUUCCUUUGUAAUUACUACAAAGGAGGAAAUCUUUACAAAAUAAUUUUCUAGCUUUUUGUAUAGGCUUUGGCAAGUACACUGUGUUUGAAAAUAAAUGUGCAGCAGUUCAAAUAGCA
rnacentral:lncRNA from 1 species